rnacentral:lncRNA from 1 species
GAAAGCGGAAGCGGAAGGAAGGGGGCGUGGCCGCCGAGGCUUCUUGGCUGAGUCGAGGGCCUGGGCAUUGUGCAUGAAGCCCACCACAUCGUCCAGACUCCAGCACAGGGCAUCUGCCAACAGAACCAGUGACUCAUCAAAGUACUCAGCCACCAUGACCAGGUCAAAGACUGAGUCCAACCAGGCCAGACCCCACUGGAUAAAGGAUGAGGGCCUAAAAUCUGAGGAGACAAGGCUGGCUGGCUGCUUGUAACUAUCAGCAGCUGUGGUAAUAGGUCGGAAGAGAGUUCCAGGGCUAGCUCCGGAAGGAGAAGGCAGAGCGGGCUAGAGCCGCUGGAUCUCGGACAAUGGAAAAGAAGAAGCUAUCAGAAGGCAUGACCUGAAGUACCUGCAGAGGAAAGAAAGAGAGGAAGAGCUUGACUGAGGAGAAAAUGAGUACGAGCCGAGGCUCUGAUGAGCCGUCAGACUCUGCUGUCCACCCUCAGCUUCCCCUACUAGCUGCAUGACCUUGGGGAAAUUACAUAAUACCUCUGAAAUUCAAAUUUGCUGUCUGCAAAAGGAAAGUAGUCAGAGGUUCCCAGGUAAUUGAGGAGAAUACUAGAGAUAACAGCUAGUCAGAAAUCUCGAACACAAAGCUCAUACUGGUUAUUAAUGUCCUUGGGUUUUUGUGUCUUUGUUGGUUGGGAAAAACUCUCAAACCUGGGGCUGGGGAGAUGGCUCAGUCAAUAAAGUGUGUGCCAAACAAGCA